rnacentral:rRNA from 1 species
CAGCCGCCGCGGUAAUACAGAGGGUGCAAGCGUUAAUCGGAAUUACUGGGCGUAAAGCGUGCGUAGGUGGUGGUUUAAGUCCGUUGUGAAAGCCCUGGGCUCAACCUGGGAAUUGCAGUGGAUACUGGGUCACUAGAGUGUGGUAGAGGAUAGUGGAAUUUCCGGUGUAGCAGUAAAAUGCGUAGAGAUCGGAAGGAACAUCUGUGGCGAAGGCGACUAUCUGGGCCAACACUGACACUGAGGCACGAAAGCGUGGGGAGCAAACAGGAUUAGAUACCCGAGUAGUCCCUGUCUCUUAUAC